ACUGGUAAAAUAACUUGCUUUUUGUAGCAGAAUUCCCUGUGUAGGAGUUACUUGUCUUUACCAGUUAAGUUUCUGAAUUCACAGAAUUGGAAGAAGACACUGCUCAAAGUUUUCUGGAAGAUUGGAGUUGGAAGAGAAAACUCAGGAAAAAAUGUGCUUCCAUAUUAAGAGUCCCUCUGAAACAGAGACAUGUUUAGACAUUCAUAUUGGCCUUCCCCUCCCCGUGGAGCCUGUUGUUCCCCUACUCCUUCUCUAGGCUCCAUCUCUUUCAGCUGUGCUGACUCAGCUGUUUGUUGGACUGUGCUCCUAAACAGUUCUCUGAAAUAAUCUAGUUUAAAAAGAAACACAUUUCUGGUUGAAAAGUAUGUAUUUCAUUUCAGUGGUACACUUUAGAAUGUAGCCAGAGUAACAGCCAGACUAUCAGAGCUGAAUGGACAGAGACAACAGAUUGGGAGUACGGAGAGCAGACGAAGGGGAUCAGAAAACUUUUCAAGCACCCUUGCACCAUUCCAGAUUCCUAUGCAAAAAUGACCCUACAGAAAACCAUAAGGACAAGAUUUUCUUAUCUUUGAUUUAGUUGUAGUAAUGUGCUCAUUAGUACAAUUCUUUUCCCUUGAUUAAUUUUGUAUAGUUAAUGCACAAUAUUUUGUAAAAAUUUCGUUGGCAAUGCUUAUAACAGACACAAUAUAAAUUCUUGAGAGUAUUCCAGGUGAAUCUAGAAUUUAGCAAAAACUGAGCAGCCAAACAUUCUCAGAGACUCUGAGUUCAUUUACAGUGCUUCAAUUUAGUAGUCAACCAAGAGAAAAGUUUUCACCCAGACAUAUUUCUAAAAGUCACAGUUAUUGAAUCUGUGUGUCUAGUAAAUGUGAAAUAUAUACACCAAAUUUCAGAUACAUACACACAGAUAAUUUCAAAAUAAUUACUGAGCUUUUUCCAUAAAUAAAGAAAGAAAUCCUCUUUAUUCCAUGCUGAAGUAUGGGGAAAACAUUUUUGUCUGCCUAGUGGCAAACUUCACCCCAGACAUAUAUAUCAUUAGCUUAUAGAGCACACAAGGCCACAUUUAAGAAAGUAAAAGAUUUAUCAGAUAUGGCUUUACCAUUGAAAAUGUCACUUUACUCUGAAAAAGCCAUGAAAUAUAUCAUCCAGAACAAAUUAUUAACAUUGACAAUAAUUAUUAACCCUAUAGAAAGAAAUAUGGCUUAUGUGUAUAUACUUGAUAUCUUGCUACAAAAAUAAUUCCAUUCCUUUGGAUACCAUAGCACUAUUAUGAUACAAUAACAGAACAAAAGCAUUGUAAGAAGUGAUUGCAGCAGCCAAUUUCAAAUAUAUUUGCUAGUUUUACCAUAUUACAUAUGCAGAAAGGCAAUAUUCUCUUUUGUCUUCCAGCUGCCAUUUCUUGCUAUGAAAAUCAACCAAAUUCUGCAUCCACAACAAAUGCUCAACAGAAUUACUAAACUCUGUAACAGGAACAGAUCAUUUGUAUUUUGAAACAACUUACACCUGAAUCAGAAAAACAAUCCUAGAAUCAGUAUUCAGGAAAGCUUGAAGAAAGGAGAAAAGAGAGGAAAAAAUAUUUUCAGCCUGUCUGACAAGACUACAUAAAAAGCUUGUGAUCAAAGGAUCUUAAAUACACGUUACUGGUGUGACAAACAACAUUUUUGUCCUUUUAUUAGAUUUAUUUUCCUUCAGAAAACUGGAAUGGCCAGAGUAUAGUUUGUGAAAGAAAGCUGGCAGGGUUGUAUUCUUUGAUUCCUAAUUAACACCUUCAGUCUCAAAAGAGAACUAACAGAAAUACCAUAAAAUGUUGCAGCUGCAUUGUUAUUCCGCUUGGUUGGUUUGUUAAAAGUCGGCUGGGCAUUGGCAGCUGCAAUAAAGGAGAAGCUCAAUGGAUGUUUUGUAUUGUGCCCAGUGAAGUGAAAGAAGGCAACCAUUUUAUUUUCAAAUGGGCAGCUGCAUAGUGAUGUUUAAAUGGAGCUAAAUGUGAGAUUUACUGUUAAUUUAUAGUAAUUGGUUAUAAAUAAAGUGGCCAUAUAGCUUGGCUUUCAUCUGUUAAAGCCAUAGAGCACAAACUGAAGGGGAAUGAGUUAUGAAGGGUAAAAAGUGAAGGGUAAAAUACUAGAGUAAUGAAAAAUGCAGUUACGUAGAAGGAGCAGUGGUGUUCAUCUUUGCAAUGUGAUGCAGCAUCCACCUUGGAAGCAAGUGGUCAAGCCUUCUUUAGAUAGUGCUUUGAAAAGUAAAAAUAGACAUCGCUUUGUCGCAAUGUAGAGGAAACCAAUGUUUUAAUGCCGGGGUUAGAACCAAGUGCAGCUCUUCCUGGAAAGCAUAGGCUUGUAUUUUCAGUAGUAUAAUAAAUGAGAUGUUUAACUCUGGUCAGAUAAAUCUCACUCACAUUCAAAAAAUGCAAUUAGGGAAAUAUGUAAAUCUAGAUGUUUCAUCAAAUGCUAGCUAAGAGGUUACCAGUUCUUUCCUUGCACAAUGACUGAACUAAAGAACUUCAGUGUCUGUGUAAGAACCAUUGUCCCAGCCCCAGAGCCCGUUGGAAACCGAGUCCAGACUGGUCGUGGGAAAUACCUACAUAUUUGACACAGGCCCCAUUUCUGAGAGAAAAGGGGGUGGAAUAGAAAGUAUGGAGAUUUUACUGUUGCAUUCUAAUCAGCCAUGAUCUGCCUAAUUUGCUUUGAUCAGGAAGAUAAACUAAUUUUCCUAUAGGCUAGAUAGAAGUAAUUAGCAAUCCAAUGCCUUCAUGCUUUUGUAAAGGGUAAAGAAAAGAAUAGCAGAAAUUAUAAUGGUGAGAGCAAAGCCCUUUUCGGCUCAUCUGAAAACAUUGUUAAUUGAAAAUAGGAUGGUGCCAUAGGAGAGAGGCCCUGAUUAAGGUGCUUUUUUGGGCUGGGAUAUCAUUGUUCACCAUGAUCUAUAAUAUUACGCAGCAACAUGUUUCUGAAGACUAAUUUCACAUGAGUUUUAGUAUAUCUAGCUUCUGUUCUCUUUUAUGGAAAAAGCAUAUUCCAUGUAAACAGUACAUCUGUCAUUCUGAGAGGAUGGUGUUUGAUUUCACAAGGCAUUUUAAUAUCUUUUUCCACAAUUGCAUUAGAAUUAUUCAGUGGUUCAUUAAUGCCAAAUCUGCUGCUGUCAUAAGACUUCAAGAUGAGGGCUUCUGAGGCCAUAAUAGUGAAAUUAAAAACUCUGUAGCCAUGGCCAAAGCCAAAUUACUGGAUAUCCUAGUCUCCUAAUUCUGUUAGGUAACAAUUGCAUGGUUCUGUGGGCCUGAACUGUGACUGUUAGCUUAACAUAUGUACUGUGGUGUAGUAUGCCUCAGCUGAGUUUCCUGGGAGUUGUCACUCCUCCUUGGCUUUGGCCAUUCUACUUCAGUAUAAAUCAAGAUGUCUUGCAAAAGUUUCACAGUAAAUCCCUUAAUAUGCAGGCAUAACGGAAUGGCUCCUUUAUCCAGGCAAACUACUCAUUCAGAUCUUACUGAAUUCCAUAGGCUGCAGAAUCCCUCAUUUUUAAUAUCUGUUUUCCCCUACAUUUCUUCAUCUUUAUAUGAAUUAAUUAGUUCAACAGGCAGUCACAACCAACUUUCUGUCCACCUUCCUCUUUAUAUUUUCAAAGUUUUAUUUAAAAAGUCAGAUAAGUUUAAGGACUGUAUUUAUCAUUUAUGUUACAGUUGUAUUGCAGUCCACAACCAUAACUGGGAUUGUGGAUCCACUAUGUCAGGAUCAGCUAAAGUAUAGUUUCAGGCUCUAUAAAAGCUUCCAUAGGAAAAAAAAAGAAAAGCAGCUAUUGGUGAUGAAUGGGAAAAACAUUUUAUGGUGUGGAUAGAGAAACAGGGGCAUGUGUUCUAUCUCAAAGACGCUCCUAUUAAAAAAAUAAUAUCCUUUAAAGACAGAGUUUGGAAAAUUAAUUUCCCCUGCCAGCAAGAUGCAUUGAAUAGUAUUUGCAGGAAAAAUAAAAACUCUGUUCCUGUAUGAUAGCAGUCUUAAACUGAGGUAUAUAAUAAAUUUUUCAGUUGUCUUUCUACAUCCUAAAAUACUUUGACAUUGUGAUAAUCUGCAGUGUUUGUAUUCCAACAUAUGAUGGCAAAAGCUAUCUUAGUUUCCAUGUGAAAACAUGGUAACAAAAAUUAAAACUGAUGUAAGAGUUAUAAAAAAAGUAGAAGCAUUCAUUGAAAUAGCACAGAGAGCUGUGUUUAGCCUGGGAAUAUUUAUUUGUUUUGCCUAAGGAGGCAGCACCGCCUCACAGAUAAAGCAUUGAUUUGAUAUUCAAACCUGUAUUUUCAUUUCCUUAUUGCAUUGCUUAGUGCCACAGCAAAACUGUCUUCUACACUACAGUCUCCUCAACUCUUACUUAGCAGUUACCUCUUUAUGUUGUUCCUUGAAAAGUAUUACAUAAUUGAAUAUUGCUGUACAAAAAGUGCAGGAGGGAAAAGAUAGCAAGUACGUAAUUCCCCCCACCUGUUGGCAAUAAAUAUCCUUCUUGCAUAUGGGUGGGCAGAAGUUGCUCCCCUGGCCCUCUCAAGAGAAGACAUAGCAAUUCUGUUUUAGACUUUUGAAUUACAUCACUUUUUCUGUGGGAUAUGAGAUAGAGUUUAGAUUCCUACAGCUGUUAUUCUCAAACCUGAGGAAAGACUGGAGAUUGCUUUUGUGCCUCUUUUUCAGGUGCACAGAAAUUAGUUUCCUAAAUCCUUAGAGUUUUUUGGCAUGAAAAGCCUGAGGAAAUCGGACUAUCUGUUACUCUUACAGGAGGAAAACACUGACUCUAAUUAUGAAUGUCCUUUUUCCAUAGUGUUCUGUUCACUGUGAGGCUGAGCUAUUACCGCUCUCUUGUGCUAAUAUAAAAAUAGACAAUUAUCAAGAUGGUGCAGAAAAACACUUUUACAUGUUUCACAAUUUUGCAGUAUCACUCCUAGUCCUAAAGAAUUCAACACGUGUAUGAAGUCAGAUCUAUGUAGACUUUUUUAGGAAGAUAUGUGUGAGCUCUGCCCUUGUUUUGAGCCAUCUGGAAACCAUCAGCAAAGCACUGAGCCUGACCUUACCUGAACACUAACCUUACCAAAAAGGAUGGUUUUUAUCUGGAGACACCUAAGAAACUGCAUGGGAGAAAUACUUUUUCCACCUCAUUGGGCCUAAAGGAGUCUGAAUACAAGAUUGAAACCUACAUGAAACUGGACUCUCUAAGCUCUGCUUUCAGGAAACACAUUCUGAUUUACAGAAAUGAAAGAUUUUUAAACUGUUUUAAUUGUUGUUAUAGCCUAAAUUGCAUUCACUUUCAUUAGGGUUUUACUAAUUUUUAUUAAGUCCUCCUUACUAAGUUUUCUGUAUUUCUAGAAAGAUCUACCUAUUUAUAUUUUAUAAAAGAAGGCCCAACAAUCAAGUCACAAGUCUUAAAAUGUACUGACAAAAGUAAAGGCAGCUUCUCACUUUUCCAUGUAGAGAAAACUAGUUUCUUUCAGUAAAAGAAAAGCUUGAAUAACCAACCAGUAGACUUCUGAUGUCAGAAAACUUGUAUUGAUGCAGAUUAGGAAUCAGAUUUCUUAAUUUAUUUUCCUUAUUCUACCACUAGUAUAAAUAUUGUGCCUACAUUUUGUCUUCUAAUUUAGUUGGUCACCUAUACCUGCUUUAUGUAUGCCAUGUAAGACACUCCAGGAUAUCUGGGGUGUCUCCAUGGGAUACAUAUGAUAUGGGCUCUACAGGAAGUGCAUCCUCUACUGUGCAAACAGCAUUGGUUGGAGGCAGGCAAGAGACCUCAAGUGAUGAACCACAGCUAAAACAAUCUGGCAGUUUAGUUUAUUUUAGUCAGCCCAGAGCCAUGGCAUGGUUCCCCCAGAAAUCUUAAAGACACACAGGGAAUUGCCGUAUUGUUAACACAGUAACCUGUGUGAUGGGGGAGAUUUGGAGUAGAAAAUACCUUUUUCAAUUUGUGUGACAAGCUUCAUAUGAAGCUGGGCUGAGUGUGGAUGAUCUGUUAUGCCAUAUCCAAGUUGCAGAGAGUUUUCAAAUUUCAAUUACAAUUC